rnacentral:rRNA from 1 species
CAACUUUCAACAACGGAUCUCUUGGCUCUCGCAUCGAUGAAGAACGCAGCGAAAUGCGAUAAGUAAUGUGAAUUGCAGAAUUCAGUGAAUCAUCGAAUUUUUGAACGCACCUUGCACUCCUUGGUAUUCCGAGGAGUAUGCCUGUUUGAGUGUCAUGA